rnacentral:tRNA from 1 species
UCACUGGCAGUCCAGUGGUUAGGACUCUGCAGUCUCACUGCUGAGGGCCUGGGUUCAAUCCCUAGUCUGGGAA